rnacentral:rRNA from 1 species
AAGGGCGUAUGGGGAAUGCCUAGGCUCUCAGAGGCGAUGAAGGACGUGAUAAGCUGCGAUAAGCUACGAUUAGGUGCAAAUAACCUUUAAGUCGUAGAUUUCCGAAUGGGGCAACCCAACUGGUUGAAGACCAGUUACCACUUCGGUGGAGCUAACCCGGUGAACUGAAACAUCUAAGUAGCCGGAGGAAAAGAAAAUAAUAAUGAUUCCCCUAGUAGUGGCGAACGAACGGGGAAUAGCCCAAACCAUUAAUGUUUCGGCAUUAGUGGGGUUGUAGGACUGUAACAUGGAAUUUAAAUGUAUAAUAGAAUCUUCUGGAAAGUUGAACCAUAGAGGGUGAUAGUCCCGUAAAUGAAAUGCAUUUAAUACCUAACAGUAUCCUGAGUAGCACGAAACAUGUGAAAUUUUGUGUGAAUCUGCCAGAACCAUCUGGUAAGGCUAAAUACUCCUGAGAGACCGAUAGUGAACUAGUACCGUGAGGGAAAGGUGAAAAGUACCCUGAACAAGGGAGUGAAAUAGAACCUGAAACCAUACGCUUACAAGCGGCAGGAGCCUUCGGGUGACUGCGUGCCUUUUGCAUAAUGAUCCUACGAGUUACUCCUCAUUAGCAAGGUUAAGUAGUUAAGCUACGUAGCCGAAGCGAAAGCAAGUCUGAAUAGGGCGUACAGUUAGUGGGGGUAGACGCGAAACUUGGUGAUCUACCCAUGGGCAGGUUGAAGUCUCAGUAACA